ensembl:lncRNA
UGUGAAUUUUCUAUGUAAAGUUUCAAAUUCCAAUAAGCACAGUUGUGCUUCUAAUGGUUUAGUGAGAACCAUUGGUGAUGGGUGAAUGGUUGGACUGGAUGAUCCUGUGGGUCUUUUCCAACCUUUGUGUUUCUAGUAAUUCUAAUUCUAAUCCAGGUUUUAUCUGUUUAUUGGCAAGGCACAUGUUUUUUUUUUUUUUUUUUUUUUUUGUUGUUGUUGUUGUUGUUUGCUUAUUUUGUAAUUGUAUAUUCUCACUGUAUAUUCUCACAGAAAAUCAAGUGCUUUCUUCUCGAAACAAUAGGAUCCUCAUUUAACUGUAAAGCAUCAAGGACCACUUUAGUAUAUAAAUCACUUGGAAAUACAGGUUGCACAUGUGUGAUAGGAAAGGGGGAGUAGGUAAAAUUAAUCACAGUCAUCUUCCUCUCAAUUUAGAUUUUGGGAAAAUCAUUUUCAUUUUCUCAGUAGCCUUCCCACAUUUAGAAGGUGAGGUUAAAGUAGUUAGUCAAUUAGAGAUGUGCAAGGGCAAGAAAAAAUGACUGUUUCAUAACACACUAUUUUUAAACUGUGUCUUUUACACCAAAUAAGUUCUUGCUGAGAAAAUGCAGAGGUUGGAAAAGACCCACAGGAUCAUCCAGUCCAACCAUCCACCCAUCACCAAUAGUUCUCACAAAACCAUGUCCCCCAACACGAUGUCCAAACGUUCCUUGAACAGCUCCAGGGUCGGUGACUCCACCACCUCUCUGGGCAGCCCAUUCCAGUGCCUGACUACCCUUUCAGAGAAAUAGUAUUUCCUAACGUCCAGACUGAACCUGCCCUGGAAUGGCUUGAAGCCAUUCCCUCUAGUCCUAUCACUAGUCACACGAGAGAAGAGGCCAACCUCCAGCUCACUACAACCUCCCUUCAGGUAGUUAUAGAGAGCAAUAAGGUCUCCCCUGAGCCUCCUCUUCUCUAGAUUGAACAAUCCCAGCUCCUUCAGCUGCUCCUCAUAAGGCCUGUGCUCCAGAUCCCUCACCAGCUUUGUUGCCCUUCUCUGAACAUGCUCUAGGGCAUCCAUGUCUUUCUUUCAGGGAGGGGCCCAAAACUGGACACAGUACUCAAGGUGUGGCCUCACCAGUGCUGAGUACAAGGGGACAAUUACUUCCCUGUUCCUGCUGGCCACACUGAUACAAGCCAGGAUGCCAUUGGCCUUCUUGGCCACCUGGGCACACUGCUGGUCCACGUUCAGCUGAGCAUCAAUCAACACCCCCAGGUCCAUUUCCUCUACACAGUCUUCCAGCCACUCUGCCUCAAGCCUGUAGUGUUGCCUGGGGUUGUUGUGGCCAAAGUGCAGGACCCAGCAUUUGGUCUUAUUGAACCUCAUCCCAUUGGCUUCAGCCCAGCUAUCCAGCCUGUCCAGAUCCCUCUGUAGGGACUCACUACCCCCAGGCAUAUCAAUACUUCCAGCCAACUUGGUGUCAUCUGCAAACUUACUGAAGGUACACUCACUGCCCUCAUCCAGGUCGUCAAUAAAGAUAUUAAAAAGGAGAGGCCCCAGCACCGACCCCUGGGGAGCACCACUCAUGAA